rnacentral:tRNA from 1 species
GAGGGUAUAGCUCAGUGUUGAGUGCGUGCUUAGCGUGCAUGAGAUCCUGGGUUCAAUCCCCAGUACUAUCA